rnacentral:rRNA from 1 species
GACGAACGCUGGCGGCGUGCUUAACACAUGCAAGUCGAACGGAAAGGCCCUGCUUUUGUGGGGUGCUCGAGUGGCGAACGGGUGAGUAACACGUGAGUAACCUGCCCUUGACUUUGGGAUAACUUCAGGAAACUGGGGCUAAUACCGGAUAGGAGCUCCUGCUGCAUGGGGGGGGUUGGAAAGUUUCGGCGGUUGGGGAUGGACUCGCGGCUUAUCAGCUUGUUGGUGGGGUAGUGGCUUACCAAGGCUUUGACGGGUAGCCGGCCUGAGAGGGUGACCGGCCACAUUGGGACUGAGAUACGGCCCAGACUCCUACGGGAGGCAGCAGUGGGGAAUAUUGCACAAUGGGCGGAAGCCUGAUGCAGCAACGCCGCGUGCGGGAUGACGGCCUUCGGGUUGUAAACCGCUUUCGCCUGUGACGAAGCGUGAGUGACGGUAAUGGGUAAAGAAGCACCGGCUAACUACGUGC